rnacentral:rRNA from 1 species
GGCGAACGCUGGCGGCGUGCCUAAUACAUGCAAGUCGAGCGGACCGAAGGGAGCUUGCUCCUUUAGGUUAGCGGCGGACGGGUGAGUAACACGUGGGCAACCUGCCCUGCAGACUGGGAUAACUUCGGGAAACCGGAGCUAAUACCGGAUAACACCGAAAACCGCAUGGUUUUCGGUUGAAAGGCGGCAUUAGCUGUCACUGCAGGAUGGGCCCGCGGCGCAUUAGCUAGUUGGUGAGGUAACGGCUCACCAAGUCAUUGACGCGUAGCUGUACUGAGAGGUAGAACAGCCACAAUGGGACUGAGACACGGCCCAU